rnacentral:rRNA from 1 species
UACGAAGGGGGCUAGCGUUGCUCGGAAUCACUGGGUGUAAAGGGUUCGUAGGCGGUGUGGCAAGUCGGGAGUGAAAUCUCUGGGCUCAACCCAGAGGCUGCUUCCGAAACUGCUGUGCUUGAGUGUGGGAGAGGCGCGUGGAAUUGCAGGUGUAGCGGUGAAAUGCGUAGAUAUCUGCAGGAACACCCGUGGCGAAAGCGGCGCGCUGGACCACUACUGACGCUGAAGAACGAAAGCUAGGGGAGCAAACAGG